rnacentral:rRNA from 1 species
UACGGAGGGUGCAAGCGUUGUCCGGAUUUAUUGGGUUUAAAGGGUGCGUAGGCGGCUAAUUAAGUCAGCGGUGAAAUUCCACAGCUCAACUGUGGAACUGCCAUUGAUACUGGUUGGCUUGAGUACAGAUGAGGUAGGCGGAAUUGACAGUGUAGCGGUGAAAUGCUUAGAUAUUGUCAAGAACACCUAUUGCGAAGGCAGCUUACUAAGCUGUAACUGACGCUGAGGCACGAAAGCGUGGGGGAUCAAACAGG